AGCGAACGCUGGCGGCAGGCUUAACACAUGCAAGUCGAGCGCCCCGCAAGGGGAGCGGCAGACGGGUGAGUAACACGUGGGAACGUGCCUUUUGGUUCGGAACAACCCAGGGAAACUUGGGCUAAUACCGGAUAAGCCCUAACGGGGAAAGAUUUAUCGCCAAAAGAUCGGCCCGCGUCUGAUUAGCUAGUUGGUGGGGUAAUGGCCCACCAAGGCUACGAUCAGUAGCUGGUCCGAGAGGAUGAUCAGCCGCAUUGGGACUGAGAAACGGCCCAAACUCCUACGGGAGGCAGCAGUGGGGAAUAUUGGACAAUGGGGGCAACCCUGAUCCAGCCAUGCCGCGUGAGUGAUGAAGGCCUUAGGGUUGUAAAGCUCUUUUAGCGGGGAAGAUAAUGACGGUACCCGCAGAAAAAGCCCCGGCUAACUUCGUGCCAGCCGCCGCCGUAACAC
rnacentral:rRNA from 1 species